rnacentral:rRNA from 1 species
UACGUAGGGUGCGAGCGUUAAUCGGAAUUACUGGGCGUAAAGUGUGCGCAGGCGGCUCUGCAAGUCGAGUGUGAAAUCCCCGAGCUUAACUUGGGAAUUGCGCUCGAAACUACUUGGCUGGAGUGUGGCAGAGGAAGGUGGAAUUCCACGUGUAGCGGUGAAAUGCGUAGAGAUGUGGAGGAACACCAAUGGCGAAGGCAGCCUUCUGGGCCAACACUGACGCUCAUGCACGAAAGCGUGGGGAGCAAACAGG